UCCUCGUUAGCUCAGUUGGUAGAGCGUUCGGCUUUUAAGCAUGCGAGGAGACCGAAAUGUCAGGGGUUCGAGCCCCCUACGAGGAG
rnacentral:tRNA from 1 species